CUCCUGCUCCAAUGCCAGCAUCUUGGGCCACCCAUUUGGCAGUUACCACAUCAAUGUGGUUACCAACCAGUCCAAUAUCGGAGCGGUUUUUCCACAGUGCCUUCAGAGCCUUCCUGGCAACAUCCUCAAACACUGGGUCACCAGUAAGGUGGCUUAAAGUGGCAAAUUCCACUAUAAAAGUACCAAUCCCAGCAGUACAGGUAACUGGGGUCUCCCCAGGGUUCACUCCAUGCAACAAGUUCACUGUUCCAUAGGGCAUCCCAGUGGGAGUCUGAAAAGCUGGCAGCAGUUUGCGAGCUGCUUCCUCUGCCAGUCUCAGGAGAGGUCCAGAGCACGGCCAUCCC
rnacentral:lncRNA from 1 species